rnacentral:rRNA from 1 species
UACAGAGGCCACAAGCGUUAGACGGAAUCACUGGGCUUAAAGCGUGUGUAGGCGGGAUGGUAAGUACCUUGUGAAAUCCCACAGCUUAACUGUGGAAAUGCUUGGUAUACUGCCGUUCUUGAGUCACCUAGGGGCAGCUGGAACAGAUGGUGGAGCGGUGAAAUGCAUAGAUAUCAUCUGGAACGCCAAUGGUGCAGACAAGCUGCUGGGGGUGUACUGACGCUGAGGCACGAAAGCCGGGGGAGCAAACAGG